rnacentral:lncRNA from 1 species
GGAUGCAGAGGUGGAGGAAAACAAAGAAAAGCAGAGCAGAAGCCCAUCGCCUGGGGAAACUCUACCUUAUUAGGGAAUUGAAAAACAUAGGUUCUCUCCAUGGAACACUGCAGAAGCAUGAUGGCUAAUUCGUUUGACAAGCUGGCAGGUCAAUCAACACCCUUCAGCCUGACUGUACCAGGUGUGCAUCCCUGCCCCCAAGAGUGUGCAGAUGGCAGCUACUAAUUUUCAUUCUAAAAGCAUUCCAGUAUAUAUUGUGGCUUUUGGUCUGAUUCAUCAGGCCAUAGAGACAAUAAAGAUGAGGAGGGUGACCUCUAGCUCCCAAUAUAGCCUAAGAGUCACAAAUUGUGGUGUGACAAUUGGCAUAAUUCUUGUAGAGGCAUUGCUGAACCCAUACAUGUGAGCUGCUGGCCGGCCUCAACAAAAGGGCCAAGAUACCUGGCUUAUGACUAGGUCAUUUACAAUAAAGUACCUGCUGUACAGCUGCCAAGCUUGCUAUAUAAGUGUGCAAAAAUUUGGAAUUCAGACCACAAGAAUGCUGUCUGAGUCUUCAGGCACCUGGUCAUCUGGGUCCAGGUUGAUGCUGCAGCAUGUCUUCUAACCCGCCUACCACCAGAGGGCAGCAGCGUACAUUCACAACAAUUGUUGAGAAGUGGAAGCCGAUGAAUCUUAUGUGC